CAGCUCGAAUACAUAUAUUUUAUAUUUAUAUAAUUUAUUAAUUUAUAUUUUUAUAUAUAAAUAAAUAAUUAUACAUAAUAUAUAUUUUUAUUAUUUAAUUUUUAGCAAAAUAAAAAUAUAAAUGCAAGCUUAAUUAUAAAANGAAUACAUAUAUUUUAUAUUUAUAUAAUUUAUUUAAUUUAUAUUUAUAUAUAUAAAUAAAUAAUUAUAUUUAUAAUAUAUAUUUUAAUUAUUUAAUUUUUAGCAAAAUAAAAAUAUAAAGGUGAGCUUAAUUAUAAAAAAAAAACUCAUUUAUAUGUAAAGUUUCAACUAUUAGAUCAAAGUCUAAUGGAUAAAAUUUUAUAAAUUUAUUUUUUAUAUAUAUUCAAUCUAAUCUUUUUCAACUUAUUGUUCGUUGGCUAGCUCGUGAGCCAGCUCGUGUUCGGCUCGUUUAUUAACGAGCUGAACACGAGCUGAGUUUUUCAGCUUGAUACUUUAACGAGCCAGCUCGUGUUCGGCUCGUUUACACCCCUACUAU
rnacentral:lncRNA from 1 species